CCGCCCCGCCCCUCUUACGGGGCCGUACGGUGACAAUCGGUCCGCCGCCGGCGUCUGGCUUGUGGAGAGCGUCAGCCGUUACGUACGCCUUUUCCCGGCCUCUAAGUGGGGUUCCUCCCAGCGCCACUCUGUUCCAGCGCCAGCUCCGGGCCAGUGUGCUAGGAACGGUGCGCUAGGACCGACUUCUCGGCAGGCCCUGACCUGGGGUGCCUUGGCUCUGGGUCUCCUCCCCCAACGCCCAGGCGGCAGGCCGGCCGCUGGCGCUCUCUCGGAGGCCCCCCUUAGGAACGCUUGACUUUCUGCCUGAAGCCGGCCGGCGUCGCGUUCCCACUCUCCCGCCGAGUCUGGACUAAAGCCCAGCCUGACUUCGCGCAUCGCUAGGGGUCACGCCUCAGUUCACGGCUGGACGUUGAAGUGUUGCCCCAGUUCUUGGGCUCCUGGCUUAGAGGAAUCGUGAUGGGAAGAGAUGAGAGACACUCAGCAAAUAUGGGUGAAGAAUUUAUUGUAAGGAGAGUUUAAGGGUGCAAAGCGAAAGUACAUUUCUUAAGGGGAAACAAGUCUGGCUUUGCGAGUGGAGAAGACGCUGGCUACUUCUCUUUUUCUUUUUGUAUGCUUUAUGUUUAGUUAUGGAGGCCAGAAGCCUGGAAUCAGUUUCACUGGACUGUAAUCAAGGUGUCAGCAGGGCUGCACUUCCUCUGGAGGCUCUAAAGAAUUCAUUCCUUGUCUCAGCUUCUGGUGGCUAUCAGCAUUGCUUGGCUUGUGUCUGCAUUAUUCCCAUGUUCAAGGCCUGCAUCUUCAAAUCUGUUUCAUCUUCACAUUAUCUUCUAUCUAUGAAACUCUUCAAGACCCAGCCACCUUGAUACAGUUGUGCUUUGGAGAGCAGUGCGUAAGCAAUGAAGAAUGAAGUGUGAACUAAGAAAUGAAGGUGCUGGACACUCCUGGCCUCAAUGGAUCCUCCUGCCUCAGCCUCACAAGUAGUUGGGACUACAGGUGUGCCAUCAAUCCUGGCUGUUUUGUAAGUUUCAAAUUUGCCUCUAUUUUAAAUAGUAUUUGCAAUAAAAGCCUUUGUGCAUACAUCAUUUCUGAUUAGUCAUAUUAUAUUUCCAUAGAAUACAUUUCUACAAGUGAGACUGUUUGCUCAGUGGAUACACACACUUAAUACCCUUUAGCAAGGUUGUGCUAAUAAUUUAUACCAGGAUUUUUCAACAUUGGCACUAUUGACGUGUUGGGUUGAAUAAUCAUUUGUUGUGGGAAGCUGUCAUGUGCAUUAUAGUAUGUUUAGCAGCAUUCCUGGCCUGUAUCCACUAGAUGCCACUGGCACUCCCCUUCAAACUUUUUUGUUCAUUGUUAUAAAAUAUACCUAACAAAAUUUACCACUUUAACCAUAUUUAAGUGUAUAGUUCAGUAGCAUUAAGUGUAUUUACCCUCUUGUACAAGCAUCACCCCAAUAUCUCCAGCCCUUCCACUUUUGGGAACCAAAAAUGUCUCCAGAAAUUGCCAAAUGCCUCCUGGAGGGCAAAAUUUCCCUGGUCAUCUACACCUUCACAGAGGGGAUCGAGAAAUCAAAAAUGUCAGUGUCAUAGACAAACUAAAACAAAGAAAGUCUGAGAAACUGCAACAGAUUAAAAAAGAAGUAACGACUAAAUGCAACACAUAACCCUCACUGGUUCCUGUAUAGAAAAAAAAUUGCUACAAAGAACACUAUUGGCACAAUCAACAAAUUGGAAUAUGUACUACAGAUUAAAGUAUUGGAUUAAUAAUAAAUUUCCUAAUUUGACAACUGUUCUGGGUUAUGUAAGAGAAUGUCUAUGUUCUUAGUAUUAACAGGUAAAGGGAAAUGAAUACACACCUACUCCCAAAUGGUUGAGGACAAAGUGUGUGUGUGUGUGUGUGUGCAUAUCUAUCUAUCUAUUAUCUAUCUAAAGAGAGAGAGAGAGGAUGCUAAAACAAAUUUGGGAAAAUGUUUAAACAAUUGGUCAUUUGGAGAAAAGGUAUAUGAGAGUUUCUUGUAUUUUCUUGCAACUUUUCUGUUAGCUUGAAAUUAAUUAAAACUAAAUUUUGUUUGCUUGCUGUAUUUUGUUGUUUGUUUUAAGUGAAUGAGAAUACUCAUAGCUGAGACAAUUGGUUGUGUGCCUAUUCUUUUCAACUCCUGAUUCCUUGCUAAUUUGUUCAUCCAUGCUUCAGAAAAGGUAAUCAUAACUGCAGCACAGGGUAAAUCUUGAUUAGUUUAGAUCAGUGGUCCACAGAUGUUAGUGUGCACCAGACUAAUGGAAUCAACCUCCAGAGUUUCUGAUUCAUUAGGUCAUGGGCAGUAGAUUCAAAGAAUCUGUAGUUCCAACAAGUUUCCAGGUGAUGCUAAUGUUGUUGCAUGGGAUGCCACAGUAGCUCUCAACCUGAUGCACAUUGGAAUGACUUAGGGGAACUUUAAUAAAAUUCUGAUAUCUGAGUUUUACUUCUAAGGAUUCUAAUGAAAUUGGUAUGGAGUAGACAAAGAAAGUAGUAUUUUUUAAAGCCUCUCAGGCCUAAUAUGCAGCCAAGGUUGGGGAUCACUGACCUUGGCCAAUAUAAUCCCAUUCCCCUUGUCAAUGUCUUGUUUAGAAGUGGGUAUGUGGCUGGGCAUGGUGGCUCAUGUUUAUAAUCCCAACACUUUGGGAGGAUUGCUUGAGGCCAGGAUUUUGAUA